rnacentral:lncRNA from 10 species
GCGGCGAUCUCGUGCGUAGGGAUUCGCAGAAUGAGCUCUUCAUUGUCGCGCCAGUGCUCCCUGCAGAGCCAUAACAGAUGAAGUGCUUAGUAAAUGUCAGCGGAAGUGGUUGGAGAUGGUGGAUAUAGGCUCAAAUGUAUAUGACCUUGAACACAUUACCUCAUCUCUUAGCGCCUCAGAGCCCUCACGUGUCAAAAGCAGGAUAAUGGCAGUACCUGCCUUGGAAGGCUGCUGCAGGGAUUGAAUGGGAACAGAAGUGCACAAUGAUAACAUAUUAUUAAAAUUAGCUUGUGAAUCAAAGAAGAGAUGAGCAAAACAAAGUCCCUGCUCUCAAAGACUUAACAAUUGUGGCAGAUAGGAUUCAUCUCUUUUGAACCACCUCCAGUUGAUUGGCAGGGGCUGCCUGGAGGGCUGCGUAGAGGAUUAUAAAAACCGGAUCUACUCCCAGCAGGAAGAAGGGAUUGAUUAUCAAUGCCUGCCAUGGGCAGGAGUGGGGAUAUUAGCAGCAGGUGGUCAGUGCACAUGCUGACCAUGAUCUGGUUAGAGACAAAGACACACAAGCCAAGAACUCUGGUAUCAGGCCAGCGACUUGUUUGGGAAAGGCAGAAUCAGGAGCCAUUCCCCAGGCCGGUGGCAUUCAAGCCAAACCUUGAAGGGUGAAUGGAAGGAAAGUUACUCUGGGCAGAGGGAACAGCUUGAGCAAACACAGUGCCAGAGUUCUGCCUGCAAGGAACAGACAACCCCGCCAAAGGUGGCUUAGACAAGAAGGAACAUUUAUUCUCUCUUAAAACAAGUCCAAUAAUGAGGGUUUUCAGGUUAUUUGAGCAGCUCAACACUGGCAUCAAAUUCCUUUAUAUUUUUUACUUUGCUGGUGUUAUUGUGUCGCUCCAAUUUAUUUGUUGAAGCCCUAACCCCCAGUACCUCAGAAUGUAAUAGUAUAUGAAGAUAGGGUCUUUAAAGAGGUGAUGAAGUUAAAAUGAGGCAGUUAGGGUGGGCCUUAAUCCAAUCUCCCUGGUGUCCUUAUAUGAAGAGGAAAUUUGCACCUGUAAUCUCAGCACUUUGGGAGACCAAGGCACGCAGAUCACCUGAGGUUGGAGUUCGAGAUCAGCCUGGCUAACAUGGUGAAACCCCAUCUCUACUAAAUAUACAAAAUUAGCUGGGUGUGGUGGCACGCACCUGUAAUCCCAGCUACUCAGGAGGCUGAGGCAGGAGAAUCACUUGAACCUGGGAGGCAGAGGUUGCAGUGAGCUGGGAUCACGCCACUGCACUCCAGACUGAGUGACAGAGUGAGACUCCAACUCCAAUAAAAAUAAAAAAAGGAAAGAAAAGAGGAAAUUUGGACACACCGAGACAGCAGGGUCACUUGUGUACAGGGAAAGGCCAUGUGAGAACACAGUGGGAAGACGGCCAUCUGCAAGCCAUGGAGAGAGGCCUCAGGAGAAACUGUCAGAAGUGUUUGAACCAGAGCAACUCCAUCUUGAAUAGAAGCUAGGUAGAAUGAGGCUGAGACCUACUGGGCUGCAUUUCCAGACAGUUAAGGCAUUCUAAGUCGCAGGAUGAGACAGAGGUCAGCACAAGAUACAGGUCAUAAAGACCUUGCUGAUAAAACAGUUGCAGUAAAGAAGCCGGCUAAAUCCCACCAAAACCAAGAUGGCCAUGAGACUGACCUCUGGUCAUCCUCACUGCUACACUCCCACCAGCACCAUGACAGUUUACAAAUGCCAUGGCAACAUCAGGAAGUUACCCUAUAUGGUCUAAAAGGGGGAGGCAUGAAUAAUCCACCCCUUGUUUAGCAUAUAAUCAAGAAAUAACCAUAAAAAUGGGCAACUAGCAGCCUUUGGGCUGCUCUGCAUAUGGAGUAGCCGUUCUUUUAUUCCUCUACUUUCUUAAUAAACUUGCUUUCCCUGUACUGUACGGACCCGCCCUGAAUUCCUUCUCGCGUGAGAUACAAGAACCGUCUCUCGGGGUCUGGAUGGGGAGCCCUUUCCUGUAACAAAACCAACUCUGCCAAUGCCUUGAUCUUGGACUUCCAGCCUCC